rnacentral:rRNA from 1 species
GGAGCUUGCUCCUUUGACGUUAGCGGCGGACGGGUGAGUAACACGUGGGUAACCUACCUAUAAGACUGGGAUAACUUCGGGAAACCGGAGCUAAUACCGGAUAACAUUUGGAACCGCAUGGUUCUAAAGUGAAAGAUGGUUUUGCUAUCACUUAUAGAUGGACCCGCGCCGUAUUAGCUAGUUGGUAAGGUAACGGCUUACCAAGGCGACGAUACGUAGCCGACCUGAGAGGGUGAUCGGCCACACUGGAACUGAGACACGGUCCAGACUCCUACGGGAGGCAGCAGUAGGGAAUCUUCCGCAAUGGGCGAAAGCCUGACGGAGCAACGCCGCGUGAGUGAUGAAGGGUUUCGGCUCGUAAAACUCUGUUAUUAGGGAAGAACAAACGUGUAAGUAACUGUGCACGUCUUGACGGUACCUAAUCAGAAAGCCACGGCUAACUACGUGCCAGCAGCCGCGGUAAUACGUAGGUGGCAAGCGUUAUCCGGAAUUAUUGGGCGUAAAGCGCGCGUAGGCGGUUUCUUAAGUCUGAUGUGAAAGCCCACGGCUCAACCGUGGAGGGUCAUUGGAAACUG